CCCGAGUGGUCGGGACGAUUAUUGGGCCUAAAGCAUCCGUAGCCGGUUCUACAAGUCUUCCGUUAAAUCCACCUGCUUAACAGAUGGGCUGCGGAGGAUACUAUGGAGCUAGGAGGCGGGAGAGGCAAGCGGUACUUAGUGGGUAGGGGUAAAAUCCGUUGAUCCAUUGAAGACCACCAGUGGCGAAGGCGGCUUGCCAGAACGCACUCGACGGUGAGGGAUGAAAGCUGGGGGAGCAAACCGG
rnacentral:rRNA from 1 species